UACGGAGGGUGCAAGCGUUAUUCGGAAUUAUUGGGCGUAAAGGGCGCGUAGGCGGCUUGGCAAGUGGAAGGUGAAAUCCCUCGGCUUAACCGAGGAACUGCCCUCCAAACUGCUUCGCUUGAGACCGGGAGAGGUGAGUGGAAUUCCCAGUGUAGCGGUGAAAUGCGUAGAUAUUGGGAGGAACACCAGUGGCGAAGGCGGCUCACUGGACCGGUACUGACGCUGAUGCGCGAAAGCGUAGGGAGCAAACGGG
rnacentral:rRNA from 1 species